rnacentral:rRNA from 1 species
CGGACGCCGCGUGGGGGAGUGAAGGGUUCGAUCCGUAAACCCCUAGUCAUUGUGAACAAUGGUUAUAUUUAAAAGAUGAUAACUCGAUAGUAAUGAAAGAGGAAGGGACGGCUAACUCUGUGCCAGCAGCCGCGGUAAUACAGAGGUCCCGAGCGUUGUUCGGAUUCACUGGGCGUAAAGGGUGCGUAGGUGGCAUGGUAAGUUUGAUGUGAAAGCUCAGGGCUUAACCCUGAAAUGGCAUUGAAUACUGCUGUGCUGGAGGUUUGGAGGGGGGACUGGAAUUCUCGGUGUAGCAGUGAAAUGCGUAGAUAUCGAGAGGAACACCAGUGGCGAAGGCGAGUCCCUGGACAACACCUGACACUGAGGCACGAAAGCCGGGGGAGCAAACAGGAUUAGAUACCCUGGUAGUCCCGGCCCUAAACGGUGCGCAUUUGCUGUAGGAGGAAUCGACCCCUUCUGUGGCGAAGCUAACGCGAUAAAUGCGCCGCCUGGGGAGUACGGUCGCAAGAUUA